GACGAACGCUGGCGGCGUGCUUAACACAUGCAAGUCGAGCGGUAAGGCCCUUUCGGGGGUACACGAGCGGCGAACGGGUGAGUAACACGUGGGUGACCUGCCCUCAGCUCUGGGAUAAGCCUGGGAAACCGGGUCUAAUACUGGAUAUGACUCCAUGACGCAUGUUGUGGGGUGGAAAGCCUUGUGCGGCUGAGGGAUGGGCCCGCGGCCUAUCAGCUUGGUUGGUGGGGGAUGGCCUACCAAGGCGACGACGGGUAGCCGGCCUGAGA
rnacentral:rRNA from 1 species